AAAAUCGGGAAACCGUCGUCGUAUAUUAUGUUAUAUAUAUAUAUUUAUAUAUAAUAUCGGAGAGGGGGAUUCAAAUUAUGUUAAAUGUCUGUGGAUUCUAAGCCCGGAAAUGACGUCACUAAUUAGGGUGGGGUUUCCGAUAUGCAAUCAUCUUGUAUAUAUGUAUAUACCAGAUACCUAUAUAAUAUAUCCCAUUGUGUUACCUGCCGGUAAAAAAACGUAACCAGAGUGAAUACCCCCCGCCC